GGGUACAGAUGGCCUGCAGGGAGGGUCAUGUGAGAGCAUGACAUUGAUGCUCUUGGGGAGACUAGAACUUCAGAACCUCCUGCUCAGCCCAGAAGGCCCCACCCCUCAGCCAGGAGUCCUUGGGUUCCUGAUGCUGCCAUGGGCUCCAGGCUCCUCUGCUGGGUGGCCCUUUCUCUGCUGGGAGCAGGCCCAGUGGACUCUGGAGUCAAGCAAACCCCAAAACAUCUGAUCAAAGCAAAAGGACAGCAAGUGACACUGAGAUGCUCCCCUCUCCCUGAACACCUCUCUGUGUACUGGUACCAGCAGACCCCGGGCCAGGGGCCUCAGUUUCUCUUUCAGUAUUACAGUGGGGAAGAGAGAGAAAAAGGGACGAACAUCCCCAGUCGAUUCUCAGCGCAGCAGUUCCCUGACUACAGCUCUGAACUCAACCUGAGCUCCUUGGCGCUGGGCGACUCAGCUCUGUUCCUCUGUGCCAGCAGCCUGGCACAGCCACCCAUGAGUCCCCACUAG